CCCGGCCCAACCUCAUUGUUCAUAGCGUGGUCCGUGAAGCAGCAGCAGCAGCAGCAGCAGCACCUCAGAACUUGUUAGCAGCGCAGACUCCAACUCACCCCAGACCUCCAGAACCAGAAUCUUCAUUUGACCACUAUCCCCAGGGGAGACCAACAUGCAUGAACGUUCCAGAAGCACUCACUUAAAAGAUGGGCUAUUCAGUUAAAGCUGAGUACACAUUUCCCAGAAACAAAGGGUUGCUGUAACCAUUUUACUGCUGUGGCUGACAUACGUAGCUAUUAGGCUCGGAGGCAUUUCCAGUCUGACUGCUAGUUCCUGGCAGAGUUUCGAUCUUCAGAGGUGAAUAAGGCAAGGAAAAGAAAGAGUGGGUGACAAAGGUCACAAAUCUUUACCAAGAUGACUGAAUCUCUCUCAUUCAUGUAAUACAGCUUCAGCAAUCUGAUUUCAACACCCCGUCAUCUCCUGGGGGAAAAAAUGCUAAGAUUUCCAAGUUCAGAGACCAGUGUGAAACUGGUUCUCCUCAACUAAAAGGGCCAGCCCUUAACGAUGUGGGAUUCAGUUAUGGAAGAAACCAACUGAUACUGCAAGUUCUGCCAUAUUCCCUUCGCUUUUCUACAGCACACAUGGAAGAAGAAAUCUCUCCAGAAAUGUCUGCUUGCAGGCCUAAGAGUCUAUUCUUGGCCCAUGUCCCUUCUCACCCAAUUCCAAGAGUACUCUCCUGUGUGAAGUAGUUCUGAACUACUUUGCCUGUAAACAAGGAACCCAACUGUUUUUGACCAGUCAUCAUGUUUCCAUUCAAUGUCCUUUACCCCAGUUAAAAUGAAAGUCACUUUAUCUCAUGUCCCUUUGGUAUACUUCUGAUAUUUUUGCACAACAGAUAACUGAUAUAUUUCAGUAGCAGUGAUAUUCCCAUGCCUAAGGCUAUCUGCUGGCAGAUGGGAAACAAGUCAGAGUUCUCUAGGCCUGAACUGACAAUUAAAACAUGUAGCCCAGAUUGGUGAUGAUUACUGUCUACCAGUUAUCCAAAGGCUUUGUGACCUGAGCUGAUAGUGACAGUCCAUGCCAUGGC
rnacentral:lncRNA from 13 species